ACAGACUGAGGCUGAGGUGGAGGCUGAGGCUGAAACUGAAGCUGAAGCUGAAGCUCAGGCGAUAAUUACGACCUCUAAGCGGCUUGCAACGAAACCAGCAAGAACGAGGCUCCAUUUGCGAGAUACCCUAACCCGAAGGUUUCCAUUUUAUCAUCAAAUUGUCACAAGACUGAAAAUUUGCUGAUUUUUAUCCACCGAGAUUCGGGGCAAUACGAAUAUGAUUGAAGGAAUGAUUUGUAGUGAUCGAAAGCAGGGAUUUUAUGAAUGUGGAUACAUGUAGGCCUCUAGUGUAUACUCUUCUCUUUUCUUUAGCUGCAGCGAAUUCGAUUCCAAUAAACUAAGAAUCGUAACAAAUGUGCAACGAUUUGUUUGGGUCUCAGGUAUGGCGAGGAAUGGCGAAAAACAAUCAACAAACAUUUGAUAAAUGUGCCAUAAAAUGUGUGCCAAAGAUACACAGUGUAUCUGUGCCCCAAAAAAGAGGAUACAGGAGCAGAUCCCUUCCUGAGGACCCCGGCGUGUGCGUGCAUUAAUUUAUCAAAUUAAUAUUUUUGGGGACCUCUGGCAUCCUCCUCCUCCUUCUCCGGCGACAGCAUUUUAUGGAUUACCUUAUUAGACAUCGCUUAUGUAAGGGGGACACUUGGCUGUUUUCC